UGGCUCAGACGGUAAAGCAUCUGCCUGCAAUGCAGAAGACCCGGGCUCAAUUUCUGG
rnacentral:tRNA from 1 species